ACAGAACUGUGGAGCAAGAGUUACGACUAAAGAAAGUACUCCUCCAAUGAUCCCUCAACAUCUCCUAAUGCUGUCAUGAUAUCCCUGUGAAAAGGCUCAUCGCUUAAGUAAACACGUCGAUUAGAGCCGAAACCCGCUGUCCGAGCCUACACGACCUUAAAAAUUACCGGACUUCGAUUUAGUUUUAUGAACCCAAAAAAUUGAGUUUUUCGGGCUAAGUCUAUUUAGGCUUUGAAUAUUUUGGGAUUAAGUCUGUUUGGCUUCGGACCGGUCCGAAAAUCCAAAAAUCCGAAACUUUAAAUAUUAUCAUUCUUGCAAUUAAAACCAUUAUUAAUAUUAACAUGUUAUUUUAGUAUUUUUGAUCUAAACUCUAACAAAACAAAUAUGAAAAUUGCUAAUGAACCUUAUGGUUUGAUCAUUACAAAUUUCACAUUUUAAAUUUACAAAUGUACUUCUUUUUUAUAACAUGUUUUUCUUAACAUACAAAGUCUGAAACGUUUGACCAUGCUUAUCAUAAAAAAAUAUUUUUUAUAUUUAAUUUUAAUUUAUAUUUGAUUAUUUAAAUCUUAUUAAACUUGGUUAGUUUAUAAUAUGUUUUAAAGCAUACGAAAAUGUAAAAACAUACGAAAAAGUAAAGCAUUUUUAAUAAAGAAGAAGAUUUUUAACUCACUUAAUAUUUUAAAACAAAAAGUUGAAACUGAUUUUUUUUUAUGAAAGUUCACAUGUAUUAAAACAAUAGAAAUGUCAAUAACAAAUUAUUUUUCGAAAAACCCAAAAAGUCAUGUUGCCCUAUAAAACCGGACCGGACUUUGAAUCCUAAAUCCAAAAUAUUUCCGAACCGGACUGGACUCAAAUAUUUAUCGGCUUAGCGGGAUUAGGCCUAUAUGGCAACACAGACAGAAACCAGGACAACAUACUUAACAAAGAAGGCAAGUUGAUUCCUAUUGACCAUGGAGAGUGCUUUCCCACAGAGGUAAUUUCAGAUCUUGAAUCGUUUUCCAUUAUCUUUUAUUACUUAUAUUCGAGAAAUAUAUAGAUAUUUAUUUGCUGUUAUGAGAAUCAUGCAAAUUAUGUUGAAGCCAAGAAAAUGAUUUUCUUUAUAUAAAAAGGAAAUAAUGGUUUAAUGUUUGCAAAUACAAUAAGGAAACAUGAUAAUGGUGCCCCCUACUUACUCCCCUGCUUUCAAUUCGUUCCUUCUUUUGAAGCUUAGCUUAUUUUGUGACAAAUGGAGACUGCUAAUUUACAUUUCCAAUUUUUUUUUGGUUUUUUAGUUUGAUCGUUACAGGUUUGAUUGGACUGUAUGGAAGAUGGCAGAUGGCAGAGAUCCCGUACUUGACUGAGAUGGUCUGAGUAUGUGAAGACUUUGGACGUGGACAAAGAUUUGGAGAUUUUGAGAACAAAUGGUAUAGAACUGUGUUUUUCUUCAGAGUUCAACACAUGGUGUUGAAACUAGGUGUUUUAGGGGGUAAUGUCCCCAAAUACAUUGGACACCUGUUAACCAAUCCGCUUAGUGGCGGUACUUCAGAAAAUCUCGGUACACUCUUUCAUAAGUGCAUGACACGUAACCCCACUGACGUAACUCUAAUAAUGGACUCUUUACACGACAGUAUAAAAGGCGUUUUGCAGUCGGCUAGAGGUAUGUCUCUUAACUCUUAAGAAAAGGAAAAUUUAUCUUAACUAUUAUAUAUAAUUUUUAUUGAUCUGAUGUUGUUGUUGUUCUUUGUACAGCUUAAGGACUGAAAAAGAGUCGAUGACUAAGAGAGAGUCGGAGUCGAUGUCGAUGCUUAGCAGAGAAGAGAAAAAAACAGAGACCAAACGCGCCCAAUAAGUGCACUCCUUCACAACUUAAAACAAGAGGCGAUCACUACUAGGUUUACGAGGAAACGUGUACGACGCAGGGAAAUCAAGAGCAUUGGUGUUGGUGUUACCGCAGAGGAGCAGAAGAUCUUCGAUGCUUUCUCUAAGACAUGCUUUCUCUAAGACGCUUCCUGUACAGUGGGUAAACAAAGACAUUCUUGUAUCGGGAGAAGUGCGUAUCUGUAGCCCUUACCAUGAUGAUUGUGUCACUGGAGGAACUGCUACUGCCAGGGAUCAAAUAAAGGUUGUGAUGAAGCAGGUUAGAGAGGAGUUGCAACUUGGCACUGGAGGCAAUUGAAGUAGGAUAAAUACUCUAGACUUGUUGGUACCUUUGUGUAAAUUUUCUGAUUCAUGAUCGUAGAGUUUACUUGGGUGUUGAAAAAGAACACAGAGAGUGUUAAAGUUUUCUUUUGUAUAGCAAAUUUGAAUAUCCAAAACAAUGCAUGUUUAGAGGCAUACCUACUCGCAACUGAAAGGUCAACGUUUACAUAUUAUUCUUGUUGGAACUCGUUUUUGACAAAGUGGUGUGGAUCAUUUUUCCGAUGGGUUUUUCGACGGAGACGUCUGUCGGAAGAACCGGAAUUUGGGCACGAUGUAAUCGUCACCGUAAACACUAUGAGUUAGUGUAUUUGUUGGUCAAAAUCGGUGUUGUUUUGAAUGAGAAAUGAAUGUCUAAAGUGAAUGA